UUCAAAUUCUCAUUCAACUUACUCAUUUUUAAACUCUUACUACUUCCACAUACAUUGACAUAGAGCCACCAUUCAAACUUUAAAACGAAGACAAGACAUUCAAUUAUUCAACUUGUAUUUAUCUUUUCAAUAUCUAUUAUACUUUUUCUUCAGUUCCAGUUUAAGUUUCAUGAUGUUUUUUCACCCGUUUCAGAGUUUAUAAUGGGUGUGUAUGGGACGGAAUGUUGGGGCUAGAGUGAGGCAGCUCAACUGCUAGAGUGAGAGGAGCAAAAAAAUUAAUCUUAAAAUCUUUUUUAAAACUGCUGCUGUGUCCGCAGCGUUUGCUCUACAGGUAUGAUUUUACCCUCAAAACGUAGCCAUGGCUGUCCUCUUUCAUCCAAUGUGUUUACUAUUGUCCUAGGUGUUAUGGUUCUUUCAUAAAUGUCACCAAUGCACAGCCUCCUCCCUCCAACUCUUCCAUAGACUCCAAUGUUAAAAUGUCUCAGAAGGUUGGUUUGAAAAUCAGAAGAGCAUGGUGUCUUUACACUGUCACCACGUCCAUAUAAUAAACUCCACAGGCAUGAAAACUGAGAAUUCAGUAGACUAGACAUUGCUGCCGCUCACGGUGAAAGAAUUUCGUCAAUACGACCUAUACUUUUCAUUUGGGAACGAUUUGUUUCGGCCUGACGUUUCUGUUCAUUUUAAGCAGCAAAAGUGAGGUGCAUGUCUGUGUACGUGUGUAUGGAGCCAUUGGGUGCAGUCACUAUAGCAACCAGGCUCACACCUGCCUGCUUAACGAGCUCUGCCUGCCACUGUACCAAGAUUCAUCUUAAACACUUCUCUUUCAACUGCUGCUGUGUCCACAGUGUUACAGCCAUCAUUUUACCCUCAAAUUGUCGCCAUUAUUGUUCUCUUUCCAACACCGUGUCUUUCAAAGCUCAGGCAUUUAAACUUUUUAAACUGUGUGGAUCAAAGUGGAGGGAUCACAUUUUAGUCAUUCAGUGAUUCAAAGAAUAUGACCUUUUAAUAUUCAUUCAGAUGUUUUCUGACUCUAAAUGUUCUUUUCUCAUUUCUUAGGUUUUUCUAAUUUACAAUUAAAACAUUUUCAGCUUUUUUCCAACUUCUUCUUCUGUGUAACCUUCAGCUUUUAGCAGUUCAGCACCUUUGUUUUCAGGUUAAAUUCGUUUGGUUUUUUUUGUUUUUUUUUUAAUCUCAUUCAAUAUUUUUAACUCAAAAUUCAGCAAUUAAUUCAUUUCAGUGCAUACAUUCAGAUUCAAGCAUUCACACUGCAGUUUCUUCAGAAAAUGCACUUUCUAGUUAUUAUAUUUUAUCUAUUCCGUACGUUUUUUGUACUCCUACUCCUUCAAAACCGUUCAACUUAGAAAAACCAUUCAAACACCAUUAGAUUCCUAUUCUUUUGGACAUGACUGCUUCUACUUUUCUCAUUUUUAACAUUUAUAUUUUUAAUUUUAUUCAACUUUAUUCAACAAAAAUUUCCCAUGUAUUUCAAUGGGGAGACCCUUCAAAUUCUCAUUCAACUUACUCAUUUUUAAACUCCUACUACUUCCACAUACGUUGACAUAGAGCCACCAUUCAAACUUUAAAACGAAGACAAGACAUUCAACUAUUCAACUUGUAUUUAUCUUUUCAAUAUCUAUUAUACUUUUUCUUCAGUUCCAGUUUAAGUUUCAUGAUGUUUUUUCACCCGUUUCAGAGUUUAUAAUGGGUGUGUAUGGGACGGAAUGUUGGGGCUAGAGUGAGGCAGCUCAACUGCUAGAGUGAGAGGAGCAAAAAAAUUAAUCUUAAAAUAUUUUUUAAAACUGCUGCUGUGUCCGCAGCGUUUGCUCUACAGGUAUGAUUUUACCCUCAAAACGUAGCCAUCGCUGUCCUCUUUCAUCCAAUGUGUUUACUAUUGUCCUAGGUGUUAUGGUUCUUUCGUAAAUGUCACCAAUGCACAGCCUCCUCCCUCCAACUCUUCCAUAGACUCUAAUGUUAAAAUGGCUCAGAAGGUUCGUUUGAAAAUCAGAAGAGCAUGGUGUCUUUCCACUGUCACCACGUCCAUAUAAUAAGCUCCACAGGCAUGAAAACUGAGAAUUAGGUAGACUAGACAUUGCUGUCGCUCACGGUGAAAGAAUUUUGUCAAUACGACUUUUACUUUUCAUUUGGGAACGAUUUGUUUCGGCCUGACUUUUCUGUUCAUUUUAAGCAGCAAAAGUGAGGCGCAUGUCUGUGUACGUGUGUAUGGAGCCAUUGGGUGCGGUCACUAUAGCAACCAGGCUCACACCUGCCUGCUUAACGAGCUCUGCCUGCCACUCUGCCAAGAUUCAUCUUAAGCACUUCUCUUUCAACUGCUGCUGUGUCCACAGUGUUAAAGCCAUCAUUUUACCCUCAAAACGUCGCCAUCGUUGUUCUCUUUCCAACAUCUUGUCUUUCAAAGCUCAGAGAUGUCAACUUUUUAAACUGUGUGGGUCCAAGUGGAGGGAUCACAUUUUAGUCAUUCAGUGAUUCAAAGAAUAUGACCUUUUAAUAUUCUUUCAGAUGUUUUCUGACUCUAAAUGUUCUUUUCUCAUUUCUUAG
ensembl:lncRNA